rnacentral:lncRNA from 1 species
AGAAUAUAGACGUUAUUAGAAUCCUACUUGCUUAUAUUCAAGCUUUAGUUCUGAUGCUUCUCAAGCCAACAUGCCUGUACCUGAGACAUACUAACUAAAACCACGACGAGUAAUUUGAAACGAGGGAGCAUGUUUUACGAUAAGCUUCACAUGAACAUCAAUACCAAUGAUGCAAUAUUAAGGUUAACGACAUGACACUUGGAAUCAGCUAUAGCCAUGUUAUGCUCCUCACCUACAGAAAGUAGAGACCACUGAGUACAAUGAAACCUGCUGUCCAUUGCAUCGAACACAUGACGAAGAAUCAAAGCCUGAAUUAUUUGCAGAGACAACUUAUGAGUUAACUGGGAUUGGGAAGAGAGACUUGCCUAGAGCAAAGAAUGGAACACGCACACACACUGUGGCCGUCUUGUCCACUUUCCAUCAUGAAUGCUAUCUCUGGUCAGUUCAAGGAAUAUGAAGGAAAGCUUCUCCCUAUAAUGAACAAUCAGUAUAAUGAACACCAAUGUACGCCAUUGUUGGGCUGCAGCCUCACCAUGGCCCUGCCCUAACGAGCUCCCUUCUUAUUCUCCUACAUCAUUACAAUCAUGAGAAAUAAAGUUUAUAUAGUAUGCAUGCCAUGAAUUUAAGAACAGAACUCAGACAUAUACAUCAAAGAAGAAUUGAGCAGUUCGUCCAACACACGACUCAGCAAAACCUAGAGCAAAAGGGGAAAAUCUAAUAGCAUGAAGGAGCAGCAAUUGUGAUUGUACUGUCCUUAAUGCUGAGGUGCGACAGAGGCUGAGCGGCACACACAUGCACGGGC